rnacentral:rRNA from 1 species
CAGAGGGUGCAAGCGUUGUUCGGAAUUAUUGGGCGUAAAGCGCGCGUAGGCGGCUUUGCAAGUCGGGUGUGAAAUCCCUCAGCUUAACUGAGGAAGUGCGCUCGAAACUGCAGAGCUUGAGUGCCAAAGAGGAUGGCGGAAUUCCCCAAGUAGAGGUGAAAUUCGUAGAUAUGGGGAGGAACACCGGUGGCGAAGGCGGCCAUCUGGGUGGUGACUGACGCUGAGGCGCGAAAGCGUGGGUAUCAAACAGGAUUAGAUACCCUGGUAGUCCACGCUGUAAACGAUGAGAACUAGGUGUCAUGGGUGUUGACCCCCGUGGUGCCGCAGCUAACGCAUUAAGUUCUCCGCCUGGGAAGUACGGUCGCAAGAUUA